ACGGGAGGCAGCAGUGAGGAAUGUUGGUCAAUGGACGAGAGUCUGAACCAGCCAAGUAGCGUGCAGGAUGACGGCCCUCCGGGUUGUAGACUGCUUUUAGUUGGGAAUAAAAGAAGGGACGUGUCCCUUAUUGUAUGUACCAUCAGAAAAAGGACCGGCUAAUUCCGUGCCAGCAGCCGCGGUAAUACGGAAGGUCCGGGCGUUAUCCGGAUUUAUUGGGUUUAAAGGGAGCGUAGGCGGGCUUUUAAGUCAGUGGUAAAAGCGUGUGGCUCAACCAUACCACGCCAUUGAAACUGGAAGUCUUGAGUGCACACAGGGAUGCUGGAAUUCGUCGUGUAGCGGUGAAAUGCUUAGAUAUGACGAAGAACUCCGAUCGCGAAGGCAGGUGUCCGGGGUGUAACUGACGCUGAGGCUCGAAAGUGCGGGUAUCAAACAGGAUUAGAUACCCUGGUA
rnacentral:rRNA from 1 species